GACGAACCGUGCGAACGUUAUUCGGAAUCACUGGGCUUAAAGGGUGCGUAGGCGGCCCGUUAAGUCAGUGGUGAAAGCCUCCAGCUCAACUGGAGAACUGCCAUUGAUACUGACGGGCUUGAGUACAGACGAGGUUGGCGGAAUUGAUUGUGUAGCGGUGAAAUGAAUAGAUACAAUCAAGAACUCCGAUUGCGUAGGCAGCUAACUAGGCUGUAACUGACGCUGAGGCACGAAAGCGUGGGGAGCGAACAGG
rnacentral:rRNA from 1 species